UGUCAGUACAGGCCGUUCCAAGGCAAAACCGCGAAUGGCUCAUUAAAUCAGUUAUAAUUCGAUAGAUGGUUACCGAUUACUCGGAUAACCCUGGUAAUUCUAGAGCUAAUACGUGAAAUAUUACUCCGACCGUGAGGAAGGAGUGCUUUUAUUAGAUUAAAACCAAAUUGGCGGGCCUCUCUCGGGAGGACCGUCGACAGGUUUUGAUGACUCUGAAUAACUUUGGGCUGAGAGCACGGUCUAAGCACCGGCUCCGCAUCUUUCGAGUUUCUGCCUUAUCAUGCUGUGGACUGUAGACCAUUGGCCUACAGUGGCUGUUACGGGUGACGGAGAAUCAGGGUUCGAUUCCGGAGAGGGAGCCUGAGAAACGGCUACCACAUCCAAGGAAGGCAGCAGGCACGCAAAUUACCCACUCCCAGCUCUGGGAGGUAGUGACGAAAAAUAACAAUGCGGGACUCUUACGAGUCUGCGUAAUUGGAAUGAGAUUACUUUAAAUCCUUAACCGACAACCAAUUGGAGGGCAAGUCUGGUGCCAGCAGCCGCGGUAAUUCCAGCUCCAAUAGCGUAUAUUAAAGUUGUUGCGGUUAAAAAGUUCGUAGUUUGAGCUUUGUUUUGGAGUGGCGCGGGAGGUCACCGCCUGGUGCUUACCCGGUGCCACGUUCCAAACAGCCUCCCCUUGUGGGGGGGCUUGGCCGGGCUGGCCGCGGUGCUCUUGACCGAGUGUCGCGGGCGGGCGGCCGUUUCACCUUGAACAAAGUAGAGUGCUCAAAGCAGGCUAUCUACUAAAGCAACGCCCGAAUGUUUCCUGCAUGGAAUGAGGGAAGAUGACCUCGGUUCCGUUUUUAUUGGUGGUGGGAACCAGAGGUAAUGAUAGACAGAGACUGUCGGGGGCAUCCGUACUACGACGCGAGAGGUGAAAUUCUAUGACCGUCGUAGGACGAACUACAGCGAAAGCAUUUGCCAAGAAUGUCUUCGUUGAUCAAGAACGAAAGUUAGAGGAUCGAAGGCGAUCAGAUACCGCCCUAGUUCUAACCGUAAACGAUGCUGACUAGCAAUUCGCCGUCGUUAUUCCCAUGACGUGGCGAGACGCCCCCGGGAAACCUCAAGUGUUUGAGUUCCGGGGGUAGUAUGGUUGCAAAACUGAAACUUAAAGGAAUUGACGGAAGGGCACCACCAGGAGUGGAGCCUGCGGCUUAAUUUGACUCAACACGGGAAAGCUCACCAGGCCCGGACACCAGAAGGAUUGACAGAUUAAGAGCUCUUUCUCGAUUUGGUGGGUGGUGGUGCAUGGCCGUUCUUAGUUGGUGGAGUGAUUUGUCUGGUUAAUUCCGAUAACGAACGAGACUCUGGCCUACUAACUAGUCGACGGGCGCUCUUGUGCAUGAGCCCCGUUCGAGUUACUCUUCUUAGAGGGAUUAGCAGCGAUUCUAGCUGCAGGAGAUUGAGCAAUAACAGGUCUGUGAUGCCCUUAGAUGUCCUGGGCCGCACGCGCGCUACACUGAAUGGGUCAGCGGGUGAUCCCGGCCCGAGAGGGUCGGGAAAUCUGUUGAAAACCAUUCGUGAUAGGGAUUGGGGCUUGGAAUUGUUGCCCAUGAACGAGGAAUUCCUAGUAAGCGCAAGUCAUCAGCUUGCGUUGAUUAAGUCCCUGCCCUUUGUACACACCGCCCGUCGCUACUACCGAUUGAAUGAUUUAGUGAGGCCUUCGGACUGGCUGUCUUGGAUACCUCGGCCCUAACCGGCCGGGGUCCUUUACGUGCCGGAAAGAUGUCCAAACUUGAUCAUUUAGAG
rnacentral:rRNA from 1 species